rnacentral:lncRNA from 1 species
UGACCCAAUCACCUCCCAAAGCCCCACCUAUGUGCACAUGAGGCUCUUGAGGGGUAGAUAGAAACCCUAACAUAUGCCAUUAAACAGACAGUAUAGAGAAACCUUAGGAGUACAGAGAGAAGGGUAAAUGUCCAAGUAGGUUCAGCUUUCAAGCCAGUUUAGGAAGGAACCAGGCAUAAGACUGGAGCCAUUUUAUAUUUUUUAUUCCACUGAGAUUGAGAAAUAAAGGGUGAAACUUGGGUUUUCACCACGUAUCCUCCAGGAUUCCAGGUGUUAUACAAUUUCACUGUGAUGCCUCAACCUCUCCCAGACAUGCUGCAGGUGAAUUCAGAAUCCUGCUCAUUUCUCAAAGUGUUCUAGUUUCCUACCAGAGAAGAGAAAAGGUUUAUAACUUCCACUUCAAGGGUGAGAAGUGAAAGAUGGCAGUCAAAUCCACAUUCAAGUUCCAAUUAUCAUUCAUACCUUCCAAAGUUUGUGCUGCUACCAUACUAUUACUGCUACUAUGAUAGUCCUACCAUACUACUAUAAUUUUCUUUCUUUUCUUGUUAACAGGAAUCGAACUCAGGACCUUGCACUUGCCAGGCAGGCAUUUGUGCCACUGAGCUAUAUCUCCAGCCCUACUUUAAUAUUUUUGAGAUUUGGAAUCAAACUCAGGAUCUUGUGUUCACCAGGCAGGCACCUGUGCCACUGAACUGUAUCUGAAGCCACUACAUAACAUUUAAGAAACCUACCUGUGAGCUUUAUGUUUCAGUUUUUCACUAAAGUUUUCUCCCUGUAAUGUUCAUUUCACUUGUCAGUCUAUCAAAUUACAUUCUAAGCCCCCAAGAAAAGAUCAAGAGAGAUAUGUAGGUGGUAAGAUCACAAACUAGUGUUUUGUUUACAUUUUUAAAACAUUAAUUAACUACAGUUAAAGAAAGAAGGAAGGGAAAUAUAUAUAUAUACAUAUAAUACACACACACAAGGAUAGCUGGGAUAAUUGUACUGCUGAUGUCUAUUAGUUUAUUGAA